rnacentral:lncRNA from 1 species
CGCUCGGGGAAAGGCAAAAGACGGCGGCUCAGGGGCGGCCAAAGAGCCGGGCCCUUCUCCUCGGGAGGCUUGGGGGAGGAGGCUUCGGGCGCUCAUGGCCCUCCUGCGCGGCAGCCGGCGCCCAAGAGCGGAGCGCCAGCAUCCCGGGGCCCCCUCUCCCCCGCCAGUCUCCGCUGCUGCUCCUGCUGCAGCGCCGGCCCGGGACAGGCGGGGAACGAGGCCCUCCGAUUGCUAAGCAACCGAGGGAGCCGCAAUAAAGAGGCGCGGGCCGUCCGGCCGUCCCGGCUAGCAACCAAAGCGUGGCUAGUGAGGGCGUCGCGUUGGGCAGAGCUCCGCGGCCUGCAAUGUAACCAUGUUAUCUGUGCCACGCCUCUCAGCGAGAGAAACGGUCUCCUCCUGGUCGUUACUCUGCGUUGGGAAGAGCUGCACCGGUUGAAUCUGCGCCUGUUUAAACGCAGGAUUAAACGAGGGAGGCUUUGCGGAUAUCUACUACCGUGGACUGGACAGGAUCACUUGGAUUAUACAUGAGGCAUGCUAAUAACAACAUGAAGAUAAACAAUAACAGACUGAGGAAUGGCCAACAACUUAAAGUAGGUGUAGAUUAUGCAUACAGAUCAGUAACUUUGACAGAGAGAUUAAGAUUAUUUUGUGGCUUUUCUACUGCUCCCAGAUUCUUGCAGGAUUCUAGAAGCUACAGGGACUCCUUCUACAUAACUGUGUAGCCUGCCAGAAAACACAAUCUUAUUUUUUUCCUUUUUACACCACCGUGGUAGUUAAAAUGGGAAGGGAAGGGGG